rnacentral:snoRNA from 1 species
UUGCAGCCUAUUAAGCCGACUGUGCUCUUUUCCCCAUGGGGGCCCAGUGUGCAAUGGCUGCAAAUAGCAGGCUCCUUGGUAGUGUAUGCAACCUGUUGCCUGUACAGGUUGCCCUAAGGGACCUUGGAGACAACU